GUAAUACUCCCUCCGUUCAGAAUUACUCGUCCAAGAAAUAAAUGUAUCUAAAUGUAUUUUAGUUGUAGAUACAUCCAUUUUUGUGACAAGUAAUUCCGAACGGAGGGAGUAGUAC
rnacentral:pre_miRNA from 1 species